rnacentral:rRNA from 1 species
UACGUAGGGGGCAAGCGUUGUCCGGAAUCAUUGGGCGUAAAGCGCGUGUAGGCGGCUCGAUAAGUCUGCUGUGAAAGUCCAAGGCUCAACCUUGGGAUGCCGGUGGAUACUGUCGAGCUCGAGUCCGGAAGAGGAGUGUGGAAUUCCUGGUGUAGCGGUGAAAUGCGCAGAUAUCAGGAAGAACACCUAUGGCGAAGGCAGCUCUCUGGGACGGUACUGACGCUGAGACGCGAAAAGCGUGGGGAGCGAACAGG